GGGAAUCUUCAAAAUUAUUAAAUCUUCUAUAGAAUUUUACAGUCCAAAAUGGAAAGAAUUUAGAGAUUGGUUUUUCUCUGCUUUUAAUAAAGAUGAAAGAGAUUAUUUUUCUAAAGAUUUUUAUAAAGAUCUAGAAAGAGAAAAUACUUUAUUGCCAUUUGUCCCAUGGUUCAUGAAUAUGUGGGAUAUUAUUUAUCUGUUAUAGAAUAUGAAUAUCAUUUAACUACAGGAGAUGUAAUGAUUUCUUCUUUACCACCGACUCAAUCUUUUGAUAUUAAUAAAGAUGGUAAAACUAUAAAUUUUACUGCUUUUUCAAAAUUAUUUGAAAAUAAAGGAGCAUUAGUAAAUUGUGAGCAUGUAAACUUGAUUCUUAAACAACAAAAUUAUGCAAAUUAUUAUUUGUAUUAGGAGAACAUGUUAUGGCAUUACAUAAGAACUUAGACAAUUAUUUAAAACAAACACAGAUUUUACAAGAAAAAAUAGAAGCUUUUCAUAAACCAAAACAAGAAUUAAAAACUGUUAAAAGUACUUUACAACCUCCGCCAGAAAUAAAAAAUUUUAAAACAGAUUCUACUGAAGAAAUUGAAUAGCUUUUAAAAGAAAAAUAAAAAAAUAUUAGUUCAAAUAUUACUGGAAUAAAUUUACAGCCUCAACCAGUUUUAUCUGCAAAACAGGAAGAUUUUAUUACUCAAAAUAUUUCGAAAGAUUUUUUAAAUAAAAUCAAUACUAAAUGGGCUGAUAAACC
rnacentral:lncRNA from 1 species